rnacentral:misc_RNA from 1 species
UUGAUAAAAUCUCGACUCUGUUUAAAAGCAGAUUCCAACGUCAAUUACUGGCUCAUAACUUCAAUAAUAAUCUCUAUAAAGGAUUAUGAGAUAUCCAUCUUUUGAACAUAUUAAAGCACUCUUCCCUUUUGUACUCAGGAGCUACAUGUCCAGCUCCCUUUACAGUUGCAUAUGUCAUCUUAUUGGCAUAUGAUCUUGUGUAUCCGUCAAUGGAUCGUUAAUGGUCAAGUUGCCGGAUACACAAGAUCAUAUGC